UACGUAGGGGGCAAGCGUUGUCCGGAUUUAUUGGGCGUAAAGAGCGUGUAGGCGGCUUUACAGGUCCGUUGUGAAAACUCGAGGCUCAACCUCGAGACGCCGGUGGAAACCGUAAGGCUAGAGUCCGGAAGAGGAGAGUGGAAUUCCUGGUGUAGCGGUGAAAUGCGCAGAUAUCAGGAGGAACACCCGUGGCGAAAGCGGCUCUCUGGGACGGUACUG
rnacentral:rRNA from 1 species